UAUGGGCGCAUGCCUGAUGAGCCUGCCGCGUGUGUGAAGAAGGCCUUCGGGUUGUAAAGCACUUUCAGUCGUGAGGAAGGUGGUGUAGUUAAUAGCUGCAUUAUUUGACGUUAGCGACAGAAGAAGCACCGGCUAACUACGUGCCAGCAGCCGCGGUAAUA
rnacentral:rRNA from 1 species